GACGAACGCUGGCGGCGUGCUUAACACAUGCAAGUCGAGCGGUAAGGCCCUUUCGGGGGUACACGAGCGACGAACGGGUGAGUAACACGUGGGUGACCUGCCCUUAGCUCUGGGAUAAGCCUGGGAAACUGGGUCUAAUACCGGAUAUGACUCCAUGACGCAUGUUGUGGGGUGGAAAGCCUUGUGCGGCUAGGGAUGGGCCCGCGGCCUAUCAGCUUGUUGGUGGGGUGANGGCCUACCAAGGCGACGACGGGUAGCCGGCCUGAGAGGGCGACCGGCCACACUGGGACUGAGACACGGCCCAGACUCCUACGGGAGGCAGCAGUGGGGAAUCUUGCGCAAUGGGCGAAAGCCUGACGCAGCGACGCCGCGUGGGGAUGACGGCCUGGUGU
rnacentral:rRNA from 1 species